GGUUGUGGCUCAGUGGUAGAGCACUCGUCUAGCACAUGCGGGGCCCUGAGUUCGAUCCUCAGCACCA
rnacentral:tRNA from 1 species